GACAGACUCCUACGGGAGGCAGCAGUGGGGAAUAUUGCACAAUGGGGGAAACCCUGAUGCAGCGACGACGCGUGAGUGAAGAAGUAUUUCGGUAUGUAAAGCUCUAUCAGCAGGGAAGAAUAAAUGAUGGUACCUGAGUAAGAAGCCCCGACUAACUACGUGCCGGCAGCCGCGGUAAUACGUAGGGGGCAAGCGUUAUCCGGAUUUACUGGGUGUAAAGGGAGCGUAGACGGCGAUGCAAGCCAGAUGUGAAAGCCCGCGGCUCAACUGCGGUAGUGCAUUUGAAACUGUAUGGCUGGAGUGCCGGAGAGGCCGGCGGAAUUCCUAGUGUAGCGGUGAAAUGCGUAGAUAUUAGGAGGAACACCAGUGGCGAAGGCGGCCUGCUGGACUGUAACUGACGUUGAGGCUCGAAAGCGUGGGGAGCAAACAGGAUUAGAUACCC
rnacentral:rRNA from 1 species